rnacentral:rRNA from 1 species
AUGAACGCUGGCGGCGUGCCUAAUACAUGCAAGUCGAGCGAACGGACGAGAAGCUUGCUUCUCUGAUGUUAGCGGCGGACGGGUGAGUAACACGUGGAUAACCUACCUAUAAGACUGGGAUAACUUCAGGAAACCGUAGCUAAUACCGGAUAAUAUUUUGAACCGCAUGGUUCAAAAGUGAAAGACGGUCUUGCUGUCACUUAUAGAUGGAUCCGCGCUGCAUUAGCUAGUUGGUAAGGUAACGGCUUACCAAGGCAACGAUGCAUAGCCGACCUGAGAGGGUGAUCGGCCACACUGGAACUGAGACACGGUCCAGACUCCUACGGGAGGCAGCAGUAGGGAAUCUUCCGCAAUGGGCGAAAGCCUGACGGAGCAACGCCGCGUGAGUGAUGAAGGUCUUCGGAUCGUAAAACUCUGUUAUUAGGGAAGAACAUAUGUGUAAGUAACUGUGCACAUCUUGACGGUACCUAAUCAGAAAGCCACGGCUAACUACGUG